UGUGGUGUGGACGAAGUGAUGGACUCUGGAAGUCUGGAGUGUUGUUGCGCGGAGCGGAUUAGAGCGACGGUUUGUUCAGGGAGGAUCAAAGGGAGGAACAGAGGGGUCGACUAGCUUUUCUAUCGUGCGAUUAGGCUCUCAAGCUUUAUUAGCUGAUCAAAUGCAGCGGAUCCCACCACAUGCGCUGCUGGCGCGCUGGGUGUGGCGUUCGAUGUCGAAGCCCCUGUAGCUGUAGGGGGUCGCUUCAUGGGGAAGGAUGUGUCGGUAGCGAGUAGCGACCGAAAGUGGAUUAUCUGCGGCGCGUGGCUCAAAGGUGCAAACAAAAACU
rnacentral:lncRNA from 1 species